GUAAUUACACUUGCAUUCAAACGGUUGUCUUGUGCCUAACCUUCUCUGAUGCUACAUUGUGCGGAUUGGAUAUCAUCCUUUGAUUUUCUAUAUCUUAAAUUUUAUGACAAGCAGUGGGUUUCUUUUGUGAGAUUACAUUUUUCUUGUGUUUGAUAUAUUUCACACAACUUACUUCAUGUGAAAUAUAUGCUUCACAUGCUUAUCUUUCUCUCUUAGUAACUAAUGAUUUUCUUUUGAACUCAUGUUCUUCUCGGCCAUUGAGUUAAUUCUUCAUUAUUUCUUUUGGGAAGAAACUUUAAUUUCACAUACUUAUGUUCCAGCAUAAUUUCUUCGGUCUAAAGCAGUUUGGUCGUCCGGUAGAGUCAGACUGCAACUUUGCAUAACGAUUUGUGCGGUCGGUGGUUGCAGAUAUUACUUGUGAAGCGCAUCGAGGACGUGCUGGAGCAAGCAUUUGAAGGUGGAUGUCCCUGGAAACCACAGUCCAAGCUAUAGCAUUGUGAAGCAGCAGUUGAAGAUGAUGGAUCCGUCUCUUCUCUCCCAUCCCAUCCUCCCCCCCGCCCCCACUACGGAGCUGCAGUCUCAGACCUUCACUUGCGAUUCCUAAUGCUUGUGUAGCUUGGACCCUUUGUCUCCUCGGGGCCCCACGAAACUCAAAAUCCCCCUUGGGGAUCCAACAAGCAAUCAAAAAUUAAUUAUCCGUCCUUUCUGUAUUGCUGUGUCAUGUCCAAGCCACCUACUUCAAACUCACCUGUAAAUGUCUUUAUUGGGGACAGGGACGAUAGCUUUCACGGUUCUUUUAUACUAGGGGCUCUUUUAUUAUUAUUAUUAUUAUUAUUAUUAUUAUUAUAUAUAUAUAUAUAUAUAUAAGCUUAUUAAUGUGUUUUACUAAUAUAUUAGUGUAAAUUAGAAGUUUUAUAUGGAUACAAUGAAAUAUUUUCGAUUUAUUUUUAUAAAAAAAUAAAAAAAAUUAUAAUUUAAGAGAAUAAAUAAGAAAAUCUGACUGACUAUCGACGUGCAGCUGAAAAUAUCUCCUGUGUUCUUCCAUGGCUGUGCCUACCACGUACGUGUUAUAGCAGCGCGGUGGCUAAUCUUCGUCUUCGUGAAGAUAGAGAGAGCUACUCCAAGGGAAGAUCGACUCCCAAGCCAUCACGAUUCCCACACGCUUCCUUCUCCUCCUGCCUUUGCUCUCCCUUGCUUACACACCACACUCGGAACAGGUCACCUACUUCUUCCCGUAGGCAACCUUACGGCGAGAGGACGCACUUGUCCAUCCAAAUCCCUCGGAAGUUUAAGUACGAGGGAAACAGAGUGCAAAGGCCAUUUCGUUUCAGCUCUGCUCCAACUCUUCCUACUACUCUGUGUUGUCAUGGCUUUCGUAGCUGCUAUGCUUCCGCUGCCUGUUCAGCGAGGAAGUCCCUUGUUCGUCUUCAGCAGGCGGAGAAGAGGAAGUCUCUCCAUGGUCUCCAUGGUUCCGGUACGUUUUGAGAUCAUCAAGAUACGAAGCAUACAUUACUUUUGUUCGUUCGAUCGAUCGAUCGAUCUCAUGUGCUGCAUGCUGGUACUUGCGCUUAGGCUGCGAGGCUGUUUGGGCCGGCCAUAUUCGAGGCUUCCAAGCUGAAGGUGCUCUUCUUGGGGGUGGACAAGGCGAAGCACCCCGGGAAGCUCCCCAGGGCCUACACUCUCACCCACAGCGAUCUCACCUCCAAGCUCACCCUCGCCAUCUCCCACACCAUCAACCGCGCUCAGGUACCAUCGUCAAGCUUUACGUAACGUGAACGGCUCUGACGAAGGGCACGCUUAUCUCCCCUGUUCCUGAUCUCGAGCAGCUGCAGGGCUGGUGCAACCGGCUGCAGAGGGACGAGGUGGUGGCCGAGUGGAACAAGGUCCAAGGAAAGAUGUCCCUCCACGUCCAUUGCCACAUCAGUGGCGGCCAUUUCCUCCUCGACCUCGUCGCCAGCCUCCGUUACUACAUCUUCUGCGAUGAACUCCCAGUGGUAUGUAUGCAUACGCACGCAUCCGCUCAUUCAUGCUAAUUCCUCCGACGUCUCUGACGACGGAAUGGCGGUGGCAAGGUACUGAAGGCGUUCGUUCAUGGCGACGAGGCGCUGUUCAACGACUACACGGAGCUGGAGGAGGCAAUGGUGUGGGUCUACUUCCACUCCAACCUCCCCGAGUUCAACCGGGUGGAGUGCUGGGGGCCGCUCCGAGACGCGGCCUCGGCCGGGAGGAGCAAGGCCGGGGAGGCACAGCCGCCGUUCCCGACAGACCGGCCGCGACGGUGCAAGGCGGAAUGCGACUGCUGCUUUCCUCUGCAGAGUUUGAUCCCCUGGCCGCAUGACUUCCAAGAGGAACGCCGGGAAUCUGCCGGCCGACCGCAGCAGUAACAAGGCAAGGUUGGCUCGUGCAGAACGCUUGUCAACGGAGUGCAAAUUGCGUCUCUUUGGAUGGGACGAAACCUAUUCAUUUAUCGCGUUUCAUUCAUCUUUCUUAUUUCGAGUUCUCUACUACAUGUUGGAAAAGAUUAUUAUAGUAAAAUAUAUUUUUUUUCAUUCUCUAUGGGUAUCAAAAUAUGUUUCUCAUUAAAAUAUCAACUUAUUAUUAAAAAUAAAUAUUAAUUAGAAUAACGUAAAUAAUAGAAUAAUAAAUCAAUCACAAAAUGAGACACCAAAUUUUUACGUGAAAAAUCCAACAAAGAAAAACUACGUGAUCAUAGUUUAUUUCAAACUUUUACUAUCAUCGAUAAUGAUAAUUGAUUUAUAAUAAGUCUUCUUUAGAAAAACUAGAGGAUCAUAAUAAUAACAAGAAUACAGAUCUUGACUCAACAAUAACAUAUCAUCAUCAUCGUAAAUGAAUUUGAUGAUAGAAAAAAUUUAAGUCUCACUAAGUAGAUAUGGUAAAAAGAUAUUUCAGAGAGGAUAAACUGUAGAUCGGUACCAUUAAGAUUAUAGAACUUGUUUCAAGGAUUCUUUACAUAAAAUUUGGACCAAAAUCGAUAAAAUUUACUCCUCCGUUCUCACGCACAUCUCCACUUCCUUUUUUUAUUUUAAUAAAUCAAAUUUAAACUCAAUAUCCAAAUCAAUGAAUCCAAUCUUACGUAUGGACUGAAUUCAACUAAACUCAAUAUGGAUACGACGAUAAUGAUAGCGACAAUCAAUAUGAUUAUUUUAAACUACCAUAUUCUAAAAGACCCAAAAGGAAUUAUCAAGUCAUGACCCUCUUUUAACUAAGCUAAUGAGAGAAGAAAACUACAAAUAAACGUUGAUAGAAUAUAUGGAAGAUAAGAGUCAACAUGAGAAUGACAGAAAAACACACAAAGAAAGAAGAUACAACCUAUUAGUUUAACGAGUCAUGCAUAAGUGACGAGACAAUCCAUAAGAGUUUUCAAACAAAGAAUUUGAUUCCGAGAGCUAUAGUAAGCUUCCAUGUCACCGUCCUUACUCUUGUCAAGUCUUUGUAUACUAGCAAGUCAUUUAUUAUCUUUGGGGGAAAGUGGAAUGUAGAUAGCUUUCAUCAAAAUCACAAGAUUUAGGUGAAAGAUAAAUCAUUUUCCGAGGGAUACUAAAUAUUUAUAAGCUGAUAAGGUAUAUUUUGGAUCCAAGAUACGUCACAAUCGAUGUCACACGUCAGGUAAGAAUUCGUACUAAAGCGUUGUUUGACCCGCGUACUACCAUGCCAACCCGAGAAUCCGUACCGAGUCAGCAAGGGGAACACCCCCACACGCCUAGUCAGAAUCCGUAUAGAGAUGCUGUUCGACAUGUCCUGUCCUUGGAACCUGAGGCGGUGCCGUCUGACGCCGCUCCAUGCGUCCCGAGAUGGCGACCGAUCAGAAGUGCCAUCUCAACUCUUGAAAAUCAUGGGCCACGCGGAACUCGUGUGCAACCGACCCUCGUACAAUAAUAUAAAAGCCCAUGGCCGACAUCCGGCCGGGGGGAGCCAAAGUUGGGAACUACCAGACAAAGGCCAUUUUUGCAAGCAAGCGAUCACCCCCGAGCCAUGAGUGCCUCGACCUGGGAAUUGCCAUCUAGUGAAUGAAGGCGAGCUGCCAACCAACUCGGGAAUAGAGAGAUGCUACUCGACGCAGACGACGCCCGAACCGAGAAACACUGAUCAACACCCUGUCGUGAGGGCCCGGCCUACCUCGGCGUCCAACUCAACCGAUAGAGAACUCCCGACGUCGACCUGUGGACCGAGCCGUGCUGACUCAUCAGCCACGUCACAUUUACUCACUAACAUAAGACAUCCUAUCGUAAGUAGCUUUCUUAAGCCUAUCCGAAGAGAUCACGAUAACAAGAUAAUAUUUUUUUUCUAGGAUCAAGAAGAAGAAGAAUGAUAGAUAUAUUUAUUUAGUGAGAAUAAGGUUAAUCCAAAAUCUUUAUCCUUGUUAAGGAUUAUAAUGAGCCUUUUGACUAGGAUAAAAUGCCUACACGUAUUCCAACACUUCAGAUUAGUUAUCUUUGGAUGAUCUUUAUUUUGAGAAUAUUUAUUUAUGAGGAUAGAUCUCGGAGCUUAGGAGAGAAGAUUUGUUUAGUAGUAGUUGUAGUAGUAACAUGUCCUUCAUCAUAUCUAUCAUAUAUAUCUAUAAGUUGCCAACCUGGCUGAUACUAUUUCUACAGGGAAAGCAUAUGCUUCACAUGCCAUUAAUUUGAGCAGCUUUGAUGACAAGAAUCUCUACCGAUUUCCCCAUCCAUUCAAUCUGGAAGUGCAUCAUUAAUAUUUGAGAUCCGAACUUGGAAAUCAUUCAAUAAAUACGAACAUUAAUUUCUUACGGCCACAUUUUAUUACAGAUUCGAAGGACCACAUUUUCUUCAUAAUUGAUUGAUAAUUCUAAUACCCUUCCCGAUGUCAUGCCAUAUUACUCGCAUGAGGGUCAUGCAUUAAAGUUAUUACUUCACCGACACAUAUCACAUUGUAAUGCAAUAUACUAUAAGCAAUCAGAUUUAUUUUUUAUAUUUUAUUUUGAAACCACAUACGUAAAUAAAAAAUAAUUGGUAUUCCUUGUCAUGUUUUUUUUUUUUAUGUUCAUAUGUUUCGAAAAGAUAAAACCGUAUGGAUACGCUCAUCGUUCAAAACAGAUAAUUCUUUGCGAACCUACGGGCCACACUAAUAAUCAUCGACCAAAUUGUCCCUUAUCACUAUUCAUUAAAUUUUAAAAAUAAAAUAAUUAUUUUUAUUUGAUAAUAAAAAUGAUAUAUAUUUUUUGUUUAUAGAGGUGAUGAUACUUUUGUGAUAAGAAUGAUAUCUGUCGACAGUCGGAAGCUUUCCAACUUUGCAAUCAGUCAACCGCGACUUAACACCAAACACAAAAAAGCAAAACGCAAAAAGGAAAAGAUAAAGAUAUGAUCGAAAUUGAGAAAAAGGUCGAAAAGACGAAGAAGUGGGACCCACCGUCGUGGCCUGCCGUGGACCGACUCGGAAACCCAAAACCGAGGAAAGCGAGGGGAGUCGUCGGACCUGUGUCUGGGUACGUCGAACGGGUGCGUCGUGUCGGGGUGUCUCGAUCGCCGAUGGAUUUUUGUGGGUUUUGAUCGGCUGCGGAGAAAUGGCGGCAGGUGUUUUCCAUUAAGAAAUUAGAAACCCACCGUCGUCACCCGAACAUUCGCGUGGGACCCAUGCGGGACCCUUCUUAGCCCGCCAAUCGUCGUACGGGGAGCCGCAUUGCAGCUGGUCCAACCCGCACCGUCCUCGCGCCUUCCCCCUGCGCGCUUAAAAUAACAGGUCAGAUCCGAGUGCGGUGUUCGCGCGUCUUCAAAAUAACCGACGCGGUACGGUGCACAUGAUUGUUCGAGGAUCCCCUGUCCUGUCCGUAUCAGGCAACGCAGAUCUCGUUCCUGUUUCCUGUUGCGUCGGAGACGGGGGAUGCCCGGGGCCGGCGCGUCCGAUAUCCACGUCCCGAAAACCUAUUGCAUUCCCGUCGAGGCGCCCGAGCGCGCCUGUCGCGCACGAGCAGGAAACGCGGAGAUCGCCUCCUCACGAUCUCGGUGGGCCCCACGAAGAAAAACGGAUCAGACGUCGAACCGGUGUUCCCUGCCGCGUCGGGGUCAGGUGAUCCUUAUUAGUUUCCAUUUUCCCCGCCUUGCCUCUUUCCCACCUCUCGUUUUAUUUUGGUGGAGGUCGAUGUCGCGACCUUGUCACCCCCACCCCACCCCAU
rnacentral:lncRNA from 1 species